AACGCACAUUGCGCCCGCCAGCACUCUGGCGGGCAUGCCUGUUCGAGCGUCAUUUCAACCCUCAAGCCCCCCCGGGGGCUCGGUGUUGGGGGCCGGCCCCGGCCGCCCCCGAAAAGCAGUGGCGACCUCGCCGCAGCCUCCCCUGCGUAGUAGCACACACCUCGCACCGGAGCGCGGAGACGGUCACGCCGUAAAACGCCCCAUCUCAAGAGUUGACCUCGGAUCAGGUAGGAAUACCCGCUGAACUUAA
rnacentral:misc_RNA from 1 species